rnacentral:ncRNA from 1 species
UUGACUGGGGCGGUACACCUGUCAAAGCGUAACGCAGGUGUCCUAAGGCGAGCUCAGGGAGGACGGAAACCUCCCGUGGAGCAGAAGGGCAAAAGCUCGCUUGAUCUUGAUUUUCAGUACGAAUACAGACCGUGAAAGCGGGGCCUCACGAUCCUUCUGGCUUUUUGGGUUUUAAGCAGGAG